AUGACCCCUGUGUUGGUCAGAGAAACUCAAAACAUGGCUUAAAUGAAAGCCAAGAGUGUCCCCUUUAAAAUGAUACCAAAUAUUGCAUUAUAGACCUUUGACAAAUGCCCAUACCAUGACCGUAAACCAGAGAUACACCAGUCUCAAAAAACAGAAUUUAUCCAAAGGAACAAAUCUAUCUGAUUA